UUUUGCGCGUUCCUUCAUUUUUACUGCUUGCUCUAGCAGAGUUUUUUUCUGUAACUUGAUCACCAUUACUAGCUCUGGAAGAAGAGAGAAGUUCUUGAAAACUCCAAAAACCGUGUGAGAGGCACAAUGUCUGAGUCGUUCUUCACUGUUGGUGGAAGGGAGCUUCACGUAGUGGCUUCAAAACGACGACGCAGAGACGAUAAGUUCAUAGCUUGGUUUGAGUUGAUAAUAGCAAAUGGAUACUAUGCACAUCGAGCUAGUGAUUCACCACAGAGGGAAGUUUCAGAGAGAACGAGAUGGCAAGAUGGUGUUUGAGGGAGGUGUGGUAACGAAAGUUGAAAGGGUUAACGUGGAUACGUUGAAUAAGUUUUUUUUAUCAAUGAUUUGCUGAAGGACAUUGGGUAUAAUGAGGUCUCGAAUUUUAAUUGGCUUGAACCUGGUAAGAAAAUUGACUCUGAUUUGAGAUUGCUGGGGGUGGAUUUAGACAUUGUGAAGAUGUAUGAAGCUGCUGUAGCUAAUGGGAGGAAGAUAGAUGUGUAUAAUGUGCAUUCCAUCAAUGACCCAGAGAUUGUUGAAGAUGAUGCACAAUCAACAGAAGGUUCCUCUGUCCAACCCAUACAAGCAGUGUUGCAGAAGGACAAGUAUACACAAAUCUUAGAAGCUCAGACCCAAGAAUCCCAACAGAGUGUAGAGGAAGGCAACGGAUCAAGCAAUGAUAUUAUGGUGGACCCUAAUGCACUUUGGCAAGAGACGGUUGGAGAGCCAUACAAGAACCACAUUUAUGUAAAGGAUCCUUCUUCACCAGCACACUUCGAUCCGAUCCUUUGUCUGAGGACCGCAUCCGUGACUUGUUAGCUCGCCUUGAUUAGCGCAAGUCGAUUGGUCGAGGAGGAUAGAGAGGUCAUUGCAGCGGAUGGUGAGGAUAUCCCAAGGGACCAAGAGGAGAACUGCAAGAUGUAGGAGGACAUUGCUAGACCUAGUUCCACACAGGCGGGGGGUCGUCAUCAGCACUGGUACCACCGACGCUGCAAGAUGAUCACGAUCAACAUGAGGACGAUUCUAAGGACUAUGUGGACUCGUAGGACUUUGAUGUUUUAUUGUUUAGUGCAUAUUUGUGUUUCAG